GAUAUGGAUAGAGUAAUUUGAAAGUGCCACAGUGACGUAGCUUUUAUAGAAAUAUAAAAGGUGGAACGCGGUAAACCCCUCGAGUGAGCAAUCCAAAUUUGGUAGGAGCACUUGUUUAACGGAAUUCAACGUAUAAACGAGACACACUUCGCGAAAUGAAGUGGUGUAGACAGAUGGUUAUCACCUGAGUACCAGUGUGACUAGUGCACGUGAUGAGUACGAUGGAACAGAACAUGGCUUAUAGAA
rnacentral:RNase_P_RNA from 1 species